UACGGAGGGUGCGAGCGUUGUCCGGAAUCACUGGGCGUAAAGGGCGCGUAGGCGGCCUGAUAAGUAGGGGGUGAAAUCCUGCGGCUUAACCGCAGGGCUGCCUUCUAAACUGUCAGGCUGGAGCACAGUAGAGGCAGGUGGAAUUCCCGGUGUAGCGGUGGAAUGCGUAGAGAUCGGGAAGAACAUCAGUGGCGAAGGCGGCCUGCUGGGCUGUUGCUGACGCUGAGGCGCGACAGCGUGGGGAGCAAACAGGA
rnacentral:rRNA from 1 species